GUUCGGCCAGAGUUUAAUCUGAGAAACAAGACAAGGAUGCCCCUCAAGUUUCCAGUUGGGAUGAGGGUGUCACCAUCACAGGAAAAAACACCACGGGAGAGGUGGGCUGGGUGCUGACACCCGUCCCCUAUGGAAGAGCUGGGGGAUCCAGGUGGAAGUGUCCUGGAGGCAGCAGGAGACGCGGGUCUGAAGCCUGGGGAGAGGCCAGGGUGCAAGGCUGGACAUGCUCCGGGGGCGGGGGGGGCACUGGGGCAUCUUAGCAUUCUGGCCCCUAAGUUCUCCUGUGCUGAGUGAGGCUGGGGCAGGGGCUGGGCCAGCAGGGUUAUUAAGAAACUUGUGGGAAAUGAGAAUCGGAGCCCACAGGCCGGGGAUGUAGCUCAGUGGUGCCGCCACCUGCCUCGAAAGCACAAAGUCCCGAGUUCGAUCCCUGGUACCAGCAAUGCAGAGCCUCGCUGGCUUCAGGGUCCUAAAUCUUCAUCUGCACCGAUAUGUCCACCUCCAGCUUUCUCCAGGACAAAGGAUUCCAUCAGGGAGGUUGACUGACUUGUAGUAUGGGCUGGGCCUUGGUGGGAGGGUGUGGUGGAGGGAAGGGAAGGGAAUGGAGCAGAGAGAACUGACUUCACCCGAAAGUACCACCCCACCUGUCCACACACUGCAGCUGAGGCUGGCCAGCAAGGGCUUCCCAGAACACCACACUCCCCACACACCUGUGACUUUCAGAGGAGUCAGGACGCCCCGGAUGUCUUGCUGAUGGCACGGUGACCAGGAAUGAGAUGUCACUCCCAGCCAGGGCAGUGAACCAGCAGCUGUGUCUUCUGCACCCUGCCCUUCCCCUCCGUCCAGUCUGAUGCGCCUUUAUGGACUGAACUUUUGUGUCCUCCCCAAGCCCCCACUGUAAAAGUAUUUGGAGGGGGAGUAUUAGGAGGUAAUUGGGACCCAAGGGCAGAGCCUUUGGGUUGAGAUUGUACCUGUAGAAUGAAGCCAGCGAGCUGCUUGUCUCUUCCUAAGUGAGACACAAGGAGGAGUUUGCAGUCUGAAGCUCAGAGGAGGGGCCCCCCGGGGCCUGAGCAUGUUGGUAUCUUGAUCUCAGACUUUUGGCCCCCUGAACCAAGGGAAAUAAAUUUCUGCUGCUGCUAAGCCACCGGCCUGACAGCCCUGGAAAGCACACGUUGGAGAUGGCGGAGCCCGGCUCCUGGAUCAUCACCUGGAGGACGGGCAUCCCUGCUCAGAAGCGUUCUGCAAUCCGGAAAUGAACUAGGUUGAGCUGAUACACAGUUUGGGAUGUGUUUGUUUUAGCAAAUAGCAUGACUUUAACUAACAUAGGGCUGGAGAAAGUGGUUGGUUGUCCAGAUGAUCCAAAUGAGUCGGGACAGAAGGUUGUUGAUGACAGACGUGGUGGUGCAUGCCUGUAAUCCGAACACUGGGGAGGCUGAAGCAGGAGGAUCAGAGCAAGUUCCAGCCUAGCCUGGAACUAGCAAUUUAGCAGGGCCCUGUCUCAGAAUAAAACAUGGGCUGGGCUGUAACUCAAUCCCCAGUCCGAUACACAAAAAAAGUCAUUGUUAAGGUUCAAGAGCAGGAGUGGAGGGAGGCCCAGAACCUAGAAAGGGGACACUGAGGCCUUUAAUGUGACGUAGGAGGCUAAGAUGUCAGAGGCUCUCUGACCUUGCAGCGAGUCAGGCAGGAGAAGCUGGGGAACACUGAACAGGUUUGGAAAUUGUGAUGCUGGAGGUCAGGAAUGAUCUCGGCAGAUUAGUCCACGUGGAUGUUGGCAUCUGGAUGAAACAGGAAGUGGGGUGGGAGGAAGCCUCAGAGGGUCUGGCCCUGUCCUGCAGGUGGGGCACAGGGAAAGGGUGUCAAAAGAGAAAGCACAGACCACAGGACUGCCACCCCGGUCCUGCCAGCUGCCCUUCCGCAUCAUCCCUGCUGGGCCUUGCUCAGUUGGCCACAGGAGACCCAUGUGACAGGGCCACUGCAAAGGCUGAGGCAGGCUCGCUUCAUCCCCAAGACAGCGCGGUGCUGGCUUCAGCUGAGAAAGCGGCCUGGCACUCCCCAAAGCACUUCAUCCGGCCUUCACCCAUCAGGACACCUGAGUGAUCAGUGAGACCCCGAAGGAGCAGGUGGUCCAGGCCAGCUCCUGAUCCUUGGCCUGUGGUCCUCAUUAUAAAAUUUCUCUUCUUUUUUUCAUUUUUGUUUUGUUUUUUUGAGACAGGGUCUUGCUAGGCAGUUCAGGCUGCCUUGAACUUACUGUGUGGCCCAGGCUGCCCUCAAACUCGUGAUCCUCCUGCCUCAGCCUCCUGAGGGCUGGGAUCACAGGCAUGAACCCCUGUGCCCGGCUCCUUUUCCAUUUUUUGGCAUACACUGCCCAUCAUCUUAGGAAGGUUUGGGCCUCAGCCUGUCGUGGGCAGAAGGGUCGGCUGACAGUCUCCAAAAGGGCCUCCCUCCUAGCGACUCUUAGAGGAGUUUGAGUGAAUAGCUCCAAAGCAAGAAUAGGGUGACAGUCGCUUCGAGUCUGAGGGCCGCCUGGGCUACAUAGUGAGACCAUCUCAAAACACAGGACAAACAGAAAAGCAGCAGCAGCCUGCAGGCAGAGUAGAGAGUGCUGGCCCGUCCGUCCUGUCCGAAAGCCAGGGCACCUUCUGUUCCGCUGUUCCCCUGCCCUGGUAACAGCUACUUCCCCACUCAGGGCCCAGGCUGGGGCUGAGCGAAGGGGUACUGACCCAGUGCCCCAGGCGGGAGGUAAACCUCAUGGUGUACAGUAAGGACAAAGCUGCUGGCCCCAUGCUCCCGGGCAGGGUGUGAGUGUGACUGACUGCCUUUCAGGCUGAGCUUUGAGGUGCACUUGUCCCCAGGCUAUGGUGUGGGGCUGUGGUCAUCUGCAGGCUGGGUGGCAGCAGGGCCUGCAAGCCAGCUCUGGGUGUUGGUCUAAGGCGUGGCCACUGCUUCUGCCCCCCAGAGCGAAUGCUCUGAGAGAGGGUGAGGGACAGCUGUGACACCUCUUAGGAUUCAUGCGUCAUCAUUUCAGACGUCACACGCUCACUUCUGCAACAGCCUCUCGAGUAUACCGGCCAGCCCUACUGAAUGGAGGAUAGAACUGAACAGGUCAUGAACACCGGAAGGUGAGAGGCACUGUUUGUUUGUAGAAGCUGGCAUCCACAUCUGCCAUCCUCAACACAAGCUUCAUCCUUGUGUUCCAAGACAGCUGCAGUAACACCAGCUCUCACAUCACAGUUAAUGGAUUCUAGC
ensembl:lncRNA